ensembl:lncRNA
GGUUACCACCUAUCUGCAACCAAGAAUUGAGUUGGGACACCUGUUUAACUUGCUUGCUACCAUAGCAAAAUCUACACAAAGAUAGCGAGUGAGUUAACAUACUCAGCAUACCAAGCAACAGAAGAAGUCAACCCUCGGGCAAAAAUAAUUAGUACAUUAUGGUUUUCUUCUAAUGUGAUCUUUCUAUUUCUUCCUGAAGUUUCAACGUAUGUAAGAUGAUUAGAAAAUACCUGCUCAAAUUUUAGGCUGCCCCUUCUAGUAAUUGAAAUGUUUAAGGUGUAUUAAAGGUAAUUUAUUUUCUGUCACCCAAGGAGAAGCCAUAACAUUAAUGGAUAUUGCCUUACCCUUGUUUGUACAAGGAAACGCAGCCUCGGCAAUUUUCUUUUUGAUUUAACUUUUACCGUUUAUUUUAUGAGAGGUUUCAAAAGACGUGCCUGUUAGUUACAGAGAUUUGUGCCCUGUGUGCAAAAACUCUAAUUACACUUUCUAAUUAAAAGCUUUAAGUGAUAACUUGUAUCUCAGUACUCCAUAAAUACAAAAAGGGUCCUAGUAAACACAGCAAUGUCUUCUAAAGCACCAGAACUUCUGCUAUGGGCAGAACUUCAGCUCAAAGAGAACAUGAAAUAAUAACAUUACUUCAAAUAAAACCAGUGAGGAGCAGACGCUGUCAGAUGUUCCUCCAGCUGCAGAUAAGUACCAGCACCACAGCCAAUGCUUGUGAACAUGGGAACUGCUGCCUGUCCAAACAAGCCAAGCUGUUACUGCCCAGCCUGGUUCUUUCUCUCGUUCUCCCCAGCUUACACAAAUGAUCCAGCCGAAGGCAUGCUGCCUCUCAGCAAAGAUCCCAGGACUGCGCACUGCAAGACCAGCAGCUCUGUUGCUGCCAAGGGUUCACCUGAGAACCCCAAACAAUAGCAAAGCAGGUGUUUGAGGGAAUGAAAAGCACACAGCUUCUGUGCUUUCCUUCUUUUUGAAAUGCUCCACUCUUACUCUGCCUAUCACCACUGACCCCAGGUAGGAAUCCAUUUAGGAACGCAGUACAAUAUGAGGUGGGAAAAACAAACACAUCGCAGAGCUGCCCGAAGCACUGACAGACAGCGGAUUCAAUCACUGCACGCUAAGCCCUUUAUAUCUUGGCGUUGUGAGUCAGGAAGACUAUUGCUAAAUUAAAUGAAAACAAAUGAGUGCAACUACCCUACUGAAGAACACCAGAUCCCAGCUAGGCAAUUCAGUAAUUGCUCAGUAUUUUGUGGCCCUUCUAACAAAAGCCAUGGAGAAUAAAACACCUGCUGACACAGCUGCUGCAAGUCUUUUCAGACCUGUCAAGUCUUAUCUACAAGCUCUUAUACAGGGGGAGUCAAAUUUCCAAGCCUACCAGAUGCACUUCUAAUUUACAGUUCAUUUAGGUGCUAAGUUGAUACUCUCUUAUUGUUCUUUGACAAGCUUCCGGAUUACUUGUGUAUCAAUAGAUAAGAGUUUCAGUAUCACAUCAUCUCUCCUGUUAAUCCAGAAGACUGCAGAAAACGAAAACAUCAGACAAGCUCUCUACAAGAAAUACAUUAAACCUCCAGCGUUCUCUAAGUUAGACAUUAAAGCUACUGGUUUCUUAACUAAAUACCUACAUACCAUUUAUCCCUGGUUGAAAAUACCUUGGGUUUUUCAGUUCACAGAGAAAAGCCCUGCCUAUUCUCAGUCCAACUCAAAGAGCUAAAUUAUUCAAACUACAAGAAGAAAGAUGUUGAAGAAAGACUGGCCCAAAAAUGAUAUAAAACUUCCUCUACGGUUUUAUAUACUAAAUGUGGGUUAUAUAUUUAUGAAGGCAAUAGAAGUGGAACAUUACCCGGAGAUAUUAUUCCCAUAAAGGCUUCUCUUUUUCUUAUCCCUCAGACUCUUCUCAUCAUUUUAUGUUAUGUGUGGCAAAUGCCUGGGAAUACAGGAGUUUUACUAACAAUCUACUGCACUGAAACACUAUGGUUCCUUCAAAUGCCUUGAGCAGAUAAGGCUUUGUUUUUCCUUUGUAGUAUUGUCACACUGGAUAUAAUAGGAUAUUCUGUCUAACUUCAUGAAUUAGUCCCAUUAAUCUCUUCGUCUAACAGCAUAUUGAAACAGGUAGUGCUACGUGCUUGGAGAAAAUCAGUCACUUCCUUUCAAACUUAUGUUAGGUCUCAUUUAAAUGAAUAUCCCCAUCUCCUAACUUCAUGGGAGAACGAGCAAGUGCAAAGCCCCCUCCUGUCUUCACAAUGACUGGGCAUUUGUCAUACCUGCUCUUAUUUACUCCUUCUCCAUUGCAAACAGUAUCAAUCCUCCCCAUCCUUCAGAACAAAGUUGCUAUGUCUCUGAACUUGCUUAUUAUCCCUCCCUGGUCACUGUGCUUUCAUCUGGAGGAAAACACAUUAAGAGAUGGAAACGCAGAUGAAAUGACUCGGGAGCACAUAUUUUUAUAUUACAGAAGAUGCCUGCACACCUUGCACAGGGAUACAUUAAGAUUUCUAGUUUCUACAUCAAGAACAGGUGUAUCUAGAGAUAAUUCAGUACAGCACUACCAGAUAAGGCACUUCAGCCGAUACAGUGAAAGGACAUUUGGAAAGAUGACUAAUAAAGCCUGAACAUCAAAACUCCACAGCAUCUCCAGCAGUCAGCGCAGAAACUAGCAUAUGGUAGAUAUUGUUUCCACUCUGAAAUUUGCUCAGCUUUCAGGUGCAGAAAGUAAAAAUACUCUCCAUUUACAAGAAUUAGCAAUCUGACUCAGUAUCUUUCUGGAAAAAAAAGUGUUCGGAAGCGAUACUGUGAACAUUUCUGUGCUUUCAACUCUUUGACCUUUUUUUGCUUCUUUGUGCACAUCCAAAGAGGUUUCCUAAGGUGAUGCAGAAGUGUGAAAACAGAAUUAAUGACUGGCACAGAUGUAAUAACCUGCAAAUGCUUCAACCUGGGGAAAAAUGGAGAGGAUUUUCAUUGCUAUCUUGAGAGAGGGAACAACAGAUGUGAAAUCGUUAGAACCAGGGCAGUGUUUCCCAAAAGCAAAGGUAAAACAGAAAUAACUGCGAGGUCAUUCAACAUUGCAGCUGAGAAAGGGAAAGAAAAUUAACAUUUUAUAUAAUAAAGAGUUUUGGAGGACUAUUUUGUCAUAAGACAGCUUACACUAUUUGUGAACUAAGAAGAGCCUCUUGCCUUCAAAAAACCUCCUCGUGUUAAAACCAGGAGCUGAAGUCAAGUGAGACUUAAGAGCUUCCUAAAGUGCUAUAGUGAGUGCUCCUGGGACAGACCUGCGCAUGUACCUAAGUGCUCUACAAAGCAUUUUUUACCAUUUACAGGGACUGGAAAUGGCAUAAGACAUAAAUACAGGCCUUUAAGUGCACCCAUAGAGAUGUGCGGACAGUACAGUUUGUUGAUCAGAGAACAAAGGCCUGUCUGGCUCUACACAUGGAUUUCUUCAUGUUUCAAGAUCUAAACUCAAACCAGAGAGCUGGAAGAAGGCAGAAUCUUCAGUGAUGCAAUCUCCAUGCUUCUGGAACCGAAGGAGUUAUUCAAGUCAUGCCAUACUCUUCACUACAGGUAAAGUUUUGCUCACAAAUACAUUUAUAUACUGCGUAUAGAAGCCUCGUGCAUAAAGCACCAUCUGCUCAGCACCUUACAUCCACAACUUAGAGAAUACAGGGGAGCCAAGAUACAGAGGAGCACUGUGCUAUUAUCUACC